CCAAACAAGCAAUUCCAUGACACCAGCAGAGUAUCCUACAAUUGAACUCAAUCCCGCAAGUUAAGGGCUCAGUCCCCUAAGACUGACCCCUACUUCACAUACCAUUUGAAAGUAAUAGGUCCCCAGGUUUCCCACAACUUCUUCCAAUUUGGCUACGAAUAGGGAGUUCCCAUGACUCCCUCCCCUUUAGAUUUGACUAUCUGCUGGAACAGCUCACAGAACUCAGGGAAACACUCAAGUUUGCCAGUUUAUGAAACUGGGCUAAAGGAUACAGAUGGACAGCCAUGAAGAGAUAUACAGAAUGGGGUCUGGGUGGGGAGGGGGUGUCCUGACCGUGUGACUGGAAUCUUCUGCCUUUGUGGAAUUGGGUUACAUCACACUCCUGGUACGUGGAUGUGUUCACCAACCAGGAAGUUCUCCAAACUCCAUACUAUUGGGGUUUUAUCAAGUCUCCCUCACUUUGAUCAAUUAUUAACUCUAUUUGUAGCCCUUCUUCCCUCUUGGGAGAACAGAAAGUGAGGCUUAAAAUUCCAAACCUCUUCUAACCAUAGUUUGGUUUUUCUGGUGACUAAACCCAUCUAGGAGCCAUCCAGGAGUCCACCUAGAAUAGAACAAAAUAUGUUCCUAGUGCUCUUAUAUUUAUGAAAUUACAAGAGUUUUAGGAGCUCUGCUAGGAACUGGGGACAGAGACCAAUCUAUAUCUACACAGAUAAAGAUAUUUCUUUUCUCUAUUAUCUCAUAGCCAGUGACGCGCCAUGGCAGUGUGUAAAGAGACUCUUGUUUCCUAAAUGCUGAGGACAUAAAAAUCUGAAAUUUAAGCCUUGAGACCAUUUAUAGGAGAACUUCAACUGCAGAGAAAGUUGAAUGCUUCAUGUAAGCCAGACCAGUGCCUGGCCCUAAUUAAGAAGGAGAAUAAAACCAAAGAUGUGAAUUUCUGAGUCAUCCAUGUAAAAGUUUUGAAUCCUAGAUCUUUUUUAAUAUCCCUGGAUCUAGAAAUUUACUCUUAGUGUAUCUUUUCAAUCAUUUUCUUUGAAGGCCUCCAACUAUUGCCCUAAGGUGAAAUCAUUGGCAGGAUUAAGAUUCACUGCUCGCUUUCAGCCAUGUGUCUCAGACUCAUCUAUUGCUGUCUCAUCUCUUGGAACCCCCUUCUCCAAAUUUAAGAAGUUGACAACAGAGCAGUUAUGGCCUGGGAAGGGCAUGAUGACUAUCAGUAAUACCCCCCUCGAUAUGAGGAUUAGGGUCAUGUGACUAUACAAGGUACCUAAUACCAGCAAAGGCCAAGGAUGGGUGGACGCUAAAAUGUGUGGUGGAGAGGGGAGGUGUUGAGUAUCCGUUGUGGCCUCGGGAUUAGCCACAGUAGGGAAAUAAACCAACCAGAAUCCUGCAGGAGCUGUUUCCAGAACUUAUCAUAGGACAGAAUUAGAUCUAAUGGUGUAAGGGGUGUCUCCAUCCCUUUACUCCCCACUUUCCACUUUCAGGCCUGAGUCACACGUUCUUAAAGCUGCCGAGAUAGUUGGUAACUGAAGGUUCUCACGUGAGUCAUUCUUCAAGGCUUUUCCCUCAUAAGAAGAGAGCUGGUUUACACAAACACAUCCGUCUCUCCCUGGGACAUGCCACUUAAAGUAUUAGUUGAGGAGACAUGCAUAUCUUGAAAGAAAACAGUUAUGGAGACUAAUGACAUCUCCACUGAUACCCUUUGAAUUAUAGUGACUGGGUUUAUUAUUCAAGGUUUCUCAUUACUCACCCUUACCUAGUUCACUCACCCACAGGUUUUGAGCCAAAGCAUAUUUCCUAAUACAUUUUUAUACACCAGUCUCCACCUCCGUUCAUUUGGAAGGAAAACCUGACCUAAGACAUCAAUAUCUACAAUAAGAGCCAUGGAGAAAAAGUGCAGGUUUCCAUGAAAGUGUAGAGUCUAAGAUUACAUUGAAAUCGGAGGGCAAGAAAACAUACAUGUGCAAGAGGUGAUUCGGCUCCAAUCUGGAGGAUGUACCUAAGUGUGGUCCCUGCUGAAGAGGCUGGGGUGAAGGACAGGGGGGAGGAGAAGAGUGCUCUCUCCGGAAGGAAACCCACGUGUCACAGUGUGAAAGCACAGUGACAGGAGACAUAAGACAUGAAGAGGCAGAGCAGCUGGACCACAGAACGGAACCAAGGAUGGAGAGGUAAGAGUCUCGUACAGAUCACCUGAAAUAGAACGAUCUUUAUUCUAAGAUUGUUGAUGCAGUUGUGUAGAUGGGGUCAUAGGUGAGACAUGAUCGAAUUCCCUUUGUGAAGGACCACUUCCGCCUUCAGUAUGGAAGCCAAAGAAGGAACAUACUGAAAAUGGGGAGAUGGAAUACACAGCAUUGGAAGUACAGAUGGGCAUCUAUGAGAACAUGAGGAUCUCAAAGUAGUAGAAGAUACCAUGGAACAGAGUGGGGAAAUAUGUCAAAUGGGAGGCUGUCAGGCAGCGGCAAGAGGAAGGGAUUUUAUAACAGAAAAUAUUUUCAAGCUUCUGAUCAAGAGAGAGCCACCCUUAUCUAUAUGGAUAAAGUUUCUUAGGUUAAGUUGCAGAGGAAACAAAACUUUGAGAAGAUGGGCAAGUCAUGUUGGAGAUUAAGGGCAGUGAAGGACUGAAGGCAGCAGGAGAGGGAGAGAGGGAAUGUUAACUAUCAUGGAAUCACAACACAGGCCUCAGCUGGUUCUAAAAACAGAUCCGGAGCUGGGCUGGCCCUCAAGAGUCAUCCCAAAAUGAGGCAUGGUGCCUGGGUAUUUGUACUCUGAUGCUGGUCACUCUUUGGAUUUCAAGUUGUCCCCAGAGAGGAAGCAUGCAUUUGUGCAUAGUCAAGUUUAAUACCUAGCAAGGGAAUCAGUUGCGAGCUAUCAGCAGCCUGCACUCUGAUGUUCAGCAUCUGGGGAAAUGAGUCUUUUGGCCCUUCACAGGAGAACUGGGCCAUGCACUACAGCAUCUAUUAAGAAAGCAAUUCUGCAGAUAAUCCUUGGGAAACUCCCUUGAGUUCUGCGCAGGUUCUUGUUGCUACUUGGCUUUCCAGAAGAGCUCACAAAGCCUUUGGUGAGUCAGCUUCCUCUCCUGUAUUCCUUCUUGUUUAAUUUGGAGACCAUUACUCAGCUGCUUGUGCACACUCUAAUAAAUACAUUUCUAGUUCCUAGGAAGGGAAGGCCAUAUUAGGUAUCCAGUGGAUGUGCCGUUCUCUUCUUUAUUUAGACCUGGAGACCGAAGCCACCUCUUAAUUCCCCUGUCCUUGUCUCUCUGCUUCUCCCACUACGGAAAAGUUUGCCAGCAUCAAAGAGAGCAGUGGAACCAGCAGAGAGCUGACUUAGCCGUAAAGAUUUCUCUGUGCUGUGGUACAUGUGACCUUUUCCUUUUGCCGUCACUUAAUUCUGCCCCCGGACUUGCCUCUAAGGUGCAGAGAGAGAGAACCAACUCUCUGCAUUUCAGGAAUGCCUUUCUUCUUAAAUGAUCACUGGAACAGACGGAAGAUCCCUCCCAGACCCUGUGAAGUUACCCAGUGAGCUUCCAAAUGCGCAAGAAGCCCAAGACAGGCCCUCCCAGGUUUCAGGGAACCUCUGUGCCUAGAAGGAAAAUGCAAAUACUCAUGGCUAGUUAAAGGCGUCUGGAAAGUGAGUGGAGCUGAAUUAUCACUGAUAGUAAGAUGGGUUCAUAAAUAUUUUAUCCUCAAAGCCAGUCUAUUGAAUAUUGAUUAAAAACCUCAGUUUUGUAAUCAGAUCGCUCUGGUCUUCCAUUUGACCUUCUCCAAGGCCCACCUGUGUUAUUUUGAGCAGGUUAAACACAGUGAAGCUUAAAUACACUGCUUGUAUUUGUGCAGGAGGGUGGAUAUUAGGCAGCGUGUGCUACGUGUUCUGCCCACCCCCUCCUCUCUGCCAGCACGGUCUCCCUGCUGCAGUCGUGAUUGGAGUAGUGAUUGCUCCUAGCAUAGCUGCAUGUUUCUUCAGAGGUUUUCUCGUGGUGGAUGACGUCUCUUGUAAGUGGCUAGGUGACUGCUCAGCCCCACCUCAGGCCAGCAAUUGAUUCCGUAGUGGACAUAGGUUCCAAUUCUGACCAAAGAAUCAUGAAACAUGUUUCUCUGGGAAAUUUUCUCUCAUUAGGAAGAGCCAAUCUUUUUCAUCCUCUGCCUGUUGCUGUGUAUCUAUGUAUUUCAUGAAACAUCUGUAGUUAACAACAAACUACUAUAUAUGAAACAAACAUUGAAGUUGUCAGAGAAGACAGGGAGAAAAAAGCCUAUGAUUUUUGAUAACAUAGGUGAGUCCCUAAAUCAAACGUUCUGGAGAAUUUUGUUUCCCAGUGGAAACACUGGAUUUCCUGUUCUGUUAGUUAACACAUGUCAUUGUUCUUGAGUAAGUCGACUCAAGGUUUCUGUUCCUUGCAAGCGAAACCAGCUAACAGAUAUACAAGGUGUUUGUGGGUAUGAGAGAGAGACAGACAGACAGAGAGGAAAGAAGGGGGAGGAGGGAAUAGGUAUCCUAGAAUCUACUUUGAUUCCUUAGUCCUGGCCCCUGAGGAAGUCUUAGCUACUCCUUGAAAACACUGGGCCACUUUCUUUUUCUUGAAUUAAAUUGAAUUGAGUUUCAUCAAAGAGAGCCUGAAAAACCAAUAUUGAUUAAUUCCCAUUUCAAAGUGCUUAGAACAGCUACAGUUAAAAAAAAAAAAAGCAAAAAACACUCAAUGACUAUUAGCUAUUUAUAGCAUUCUUAAUUAUCAAGAUAAUCAUUAUGUUCUUUCAUCUUAUCACUCUUUAUGAAACCAAAGUGGUGGUUCUUAAAGCUAGUCUCACAUGAGUAUCACCUAUAAAGCUUUUAAAAAUUAAUGCAGCCCAAAUUUUCCACUUCCACUGUAAUGGAGGAACUAAUUUAGGUCUUCCAUGUAAAUGACUAGAAAACUAGACAAAACAUAAACAACAACUCGUGUGAAUGUGGUAAAUAUAUGGUCCGUCUUUGUCCUUGGUUCCUGGCACAUAACUCCUGAAAUCCUUGGAAUCUGUAGGGUGACAGAAGCAUCUUUUGUUCUCAUAAGGCCACUCUUGAUGCCUCCUGGAGAACUUCUGGAUAGGGGCUAGUUGCCAUCGAAAACAAGGGAGGAUUAGAGGGUUGGAACUUUCAGCCCUACCCCUGGGAGUCAUUGCUGGAGAUUGAGUUAAUCACCAAUGGCCUAAGAUUUAAUCAAUCAUGCCUACUUAAUGGUUUAGAGAGCUUCUAGGUUACUGGGCUCCUGAAGGUGCUGGCAGGAUGGCACACCCAGAUAGAGUGUGGAAGCUCCGUGUAACUCUUCCCAUACUUUCCAUUUGGCUGCUCCUGACUGCAUCCUUUAUAAGAAACUGGUAUUGUCAGUAAAGGGUCUUCCAUGAGCCUUUAGCAAAUAAUCAACCCUGAGGAGAAAGUCAUGGUAUCUCUCGAUUUAUAGCUAGUUGGUCAAAAGUACAGGUGGCAACAUGGGACUUGCAAGUGAUGUCUGAUCUGGGGGCAGUCUUGUGGGACUGGGCUCUGAGCCUGUGAGACCUGUGCUAAUUCAGUAGGAAAUGUCAGAAUUGAACUGAAUUGUACAGCAUCCAGUUGGUAUUUAGAGAGUUGGAGAAUUGGUUGGCAUGGGGCAGGGGGGUGGGGGGGACAAAAAACACACAUUGGUGUUUGAAGUGUUGUGAGUAAAAACAGUUGAGCGAGACAUUGUACAGCAGGCAGCAUAGGGGUUACAACACCUGAGAAGAAGAAAAUAAAUGAGAUGAACCUUAUAAUUUCCCUCCUUUCAGCCUCGAAGAAAUUUUCAGACCCAGUACAUGAGUAGGAACCCCAGAAAUGUCAGGCAAUAUUCUUUUUUUUAUUAGUCAGUGAAUUUUAUGACAUUUAUAGUUGUGCAAUGAUCAUCACAACAAUUUACAGCAUGUCCAUUCCAAACCCUCAGUGCAUCCCCCCACCCCACAACCUGUCUCAUUUGGAAACCGUAAGUUUUUCAAAGUCUGUGAAUCACUAUCUGUUCUGCAAAGAAGUUCAUUGUGUCCUUUUUUUAGAUUCCACAUGUAAGUGAUAGCACUGAUGUUGGUAUCUCACCGUCUGACUGACUUCACUUAGCAUGAUCAUUUCUAGGUCCAUCCAUGUUGCUGCAAAUGCCGUUGAUUCUUUCCUUUUUAUGGCUGAGUAAUAUUCUAUUAUGUAUAUCUACCACAUCUUCUUUAUCCACUCCUUUGUCGAUGGACAUGUAGGUUGUUUCCGUGUCUUGGCUGUUGUAUAGAGUGCUGCAACGAACAUUGGAGUACAUGUGUCUUUACGCGUCGUGGUUUUCUCUGGGUAGAUGCCCAGGAGUGGGAUUGCUGGAUCAAAUGGUAGUUCUAUGUUUAGUUUUCGGAGGAAUCUCCAUGCUGUUUUCCACAGUGGUUGCGCCAAUUUACAUUCCCACCAACAGUGUAGCAAGAUUCCCUUUUCUCCACACCCUCUCCAGCACUUAUGGUUUGUAGACUUUUUGAUGAUGGCCAUUCUGGCCGGUGUAGGGUGAAGUCCCAUGGG
rnacentral:lncRNA from 1 species